rnacentral:rRNA from 1 species
AACGUACGCUGGCGGCACGCCUAACACAUGCAAGUCGAACGCAGUAGCAAUACUGAGUGGCAGACGGGUGAGUAACAUGUGGGAAUCUGCCUUGUGGUUCAGGACAACAUUGGGAAACCGAUGCUAAUACUGGAUAAGCCCUUACGGGGAAAGUUUUAAUGCCAUAAGAUGAGCCCGCAUUUGAUUAGUUAGUUGGUGAGGUAAUGGCUCACCAAGACAAUGAUCAAUAGCUGAUCUGAGAGGAUGAUCAGCCACACUGGGACUGAGACACGGUCCAGACUCCUACGGGAGGCAGCAGUGGGGAAUUUUCCGCAAUGGGCGAAAGCCUGACGGAGCAAUACCGCGUGAGGGAAGACUGCCUAUGGGUUGUAAACCUCUUUUUUCAGGGAGGAAUAAAAUGACGUGUACCUGAAGAAUAAGCAUCGGCUAACUCCGUG